AAAUUUCAUUUUUAAAAAAAAUUACAACAACAUCAAAAAUGGCUAUUGUUAAUCAAAAAACACAUUGGUUCUUGAUCAUGUCUUUCAUUUUCUUCUUCUUCUUGAUCACUUGUCAAGCAAGGAAUUUGCAAGUUGAUAAUUAUGAAUUAGUUCAAAAGAGUGGCAACCAACAAGUUGUUAUAAGCACUAAAGAGAAAUCAGAGUAUGAAAAUUCAGUAUCAAUAGACAUAGAUUAUACUCCUGCUAGAAAGAAACCUCCUAUUCAUAAUUAGAAUUUGGAGAAUUAUCGAGUGACGAAUCCAAAAUUUAGAAUCAGUCGAUGAUGUUUAUGAUAUAAUUGAGUGUUUUAUUUUUUGUUACACGUAUAUAUACCUCAUUUGAGAGCUGGAUACAAGUGGAUUCUGUCAAAUUCAUAUGUUGUGUCUAGUCUAGAUCUCGAUGUCACAAGUACUUUUAUAUAUGAUGUAAUAUAUCUACUUCCAUUUCUAAAAUACAUGUACGUAGUAAGAAAAUCUAAGAAUAAAAAAAUUAUAUAUAAUCAUAGAGGGUAUAUAUAAUUAAGGAGAUAUA